rnacentral:tRNA from 1 species
GGGUGGAUGGCAGAGUGGCUAUGCAGCGGCCUGCAAAGCUGUUAACUCCGGUUCGAUUCUGGAUUCAGCCUCCA